UUGCCAAUGCUGUGAGCGGAGGGGGAACAUCUCAAGAGCAUGCCCAGCAUUCAAGCUAAACAACCGAAGACCAAGACAAGGUACACUCCCAAGAACUCAGGAAAAUCAAACUGAAAACCGUGGGGGUCAAAAUAGCAGAAAUCGAUGGAACCACGAGCCGAGCACAAAGAGAAGUGAAAUGCACCAGACGGUAACCAUGGGCCACUCAAGCAUACCAAAUGCCAAGAAAGUACAUCCUGGGUUUGGGGACAUAGAGAAGAGGCAGUGUUCAAAGAAAUAAAGAACUUAAUUACAUCAGAACGCGUACUAAUUCAAUAUAAUGAGACUUUACCGAUAAUAGUAACUUGCGAUGCAUCACCAUUUGGGGUGGGUGCGAUACUCAGCCACCUUUUGCCAAACGGAAAGGAAGACCCAAUAGCAUUUUAUUCAAAGACAUUAUCCAAACCUGAAUGGAAUUAUAGCCAACUAGACAAAGAAGCGUUAGCUGCGGUCACUGGAAUCAAGUGAUUCCACGAAUACAUAUAUGGACAGAAGUUCAUAUUGGUCACAGACCACAAACCCCUUUUGGGCAUCAUCGUGGAGAAUAGAGCCACCCCAAACAUCGUGUCCCCCAGAAUGACCCGUUGUAUAGAAUUCUUACCUGCAUACGAUUACAACUUGAUCUAUAGACCAGGAAAAGAGAUUGAUCAUGCAGAUGCAUUAAGCAGAUGUCCCCUGCCCAUCGAGGACGAGGAUCCAGCACCAGCCACCACUACACUCCUGAUAGAGACAGUUCAACGAACGCCAGUCAUGGCAGCCGAUAUUGCGAGAGCAACAGCGAAAGACAGAACUCUGGCGCACGUUUUGAGGGUAGGGAGGGGGUGGCCUGAACAGGAACAAACCGAAGAAACUAAACCUUUCAAAAACAGACAAACUGAAUUAUCCAUACUGAAAGGUUGUGUAUUGUGAGGUGAUUGAGUUAUAAUUCCAGCCAUUUUAAGGGAUGAUAUAAUGGAGAUGUUGCAUGCAGGGCAUCCGGGGAUAGUUAACAUGAAAUCAUUAGCAAGGAGCUAUGUGUGGUGGCCAGGGAUGGAUAAAGAAAUAAAGGCCUGGGUCUCUGCCUGCCAGGUUUGUCAAGAGAACUGACCAGCACCACCCAUAGCACCCAAACAUCAGUGAGAAUCACCCAGGGGACCCUGGUCUAGAAUACAUAUAGAUUUUGCAGGACCAGUAAGGGGACACACGUUUCUUAUCGUUGUGGAUGCAUAUUCUAAAUGGCUGGAAGUCAGCAUCAUGCAGUCCACAAUGACAGAGGCAGUAGUAAGAACCCUAAAGAAUCUAUUUGCUACACACGGCCUUCCAGAUGUAAUUGUAUCCAACAGUGGACCUCAAUUCACAGCCACACAGUUUGAGGGAUUCCUAGCACAAAAUGGGGUACAACAUGCUCUCUCGGCACCUGGACAAGCGUCCAUGAAUGGAUUGUCUGAACGCAUGGUCCAGCACACAAAAGAAACACUUCAGAAACUAGGGCCAGGGGAUGUGCAAGCAAAAGUAGAUAAGUUAUUAAGUAUACAGCACAUAACACCUAGCGCAUCAACAAAAGCCACACGGAACUUCUUAUGGGAAGGAAACAGAUCACAAUUAGACAGAGUACACCCCAAUUACACACCAGAAAGACCACUAGAUUCAUGCAGCAAAUGCCAGAAUUUCAAAACGGGUGACUCAGUAUACGCUAAAAAUCUAACAGGGGAAUCAUUAUGGGUACCGGCAUCGGUGGUACAAGUAACAGGGCCUCGUUCAUACAGAGUC